UUGUCGAUUUCAGGCAAUUAAACAAGAAAAUUAUCGCCGAUAAAUUUCCUCUCCCAAGAAUCGACGAAAUUUUGGAUAAUCUGGGAAGAGCAAAGUAUUUUUCAACCCUGGAUCUAGCUUCAGGUUUCCAUCAAAUAGAACUCGAAGAAGACUCAAGGAAAUUCACUGCCUUCUCCACAUCUUCAGGUCAUUUUGAAUUUAAAAGGUUACCGUUUGGUUUGAAUAUAUCACCAAACAGUUUUCAGAGAAUGAUGACCAUUGCUCUAAGCGGUCUUCCUCCACAAUGUGCAUUUUUGUACAUUGAUGAUAUAAUAGUAGUUGGAUGCUCAAUAAAUCAUCAUCUAACGAAUCUAGAAAAUGUUUUCGAACAUUUAGCUAAGUACAACUUGAAAUUGAAUCCUUCGAAGUGUCAAUUUUUCUGCGCUGAUGUCACUUAUUUAGGGCAUCAUAUUAGCAGACUAGGCAUACAACCGGAUAAAUCAAAGUAUAGUUGUUGGCUAGCGUAUAGCUGCCAGCGCGCAUCUUUCUUCUCAGCAACCUUAUUCACUCAUGAGGACCGACGUGACAGGUAACAUCAACGGCUGUACGGAUGGGUAAGAACACAAACAGAAGAAAGGAAAACAAAUCACUAAAUUGAAUUGAAGACAGCGUGUGAAUUUCUUAUCCUAAAUCAAUUAUAAAUAAUACUUAACUACCCUAUAACUAUUAGUGCUACAAUCAAUCUAUUUACAAGCUUAGUACUAGAUUCUUUCCACCAAGUAGCAGAAACCAACCUAACCCUAAUCUACUUAUGCUGUAAAGUGCACAAUCACGACACGACAGACAGAUUUCGACAAGACAGACUACGACUGACAAACUACGAACGAUCAUAAAG